AUGGUAAAGCCGGCCGACGUGCUCGGCCUCACGCGGGGCUACAAGCUGGAGCCUCACGACGACGAGGCGGUGGAAUAUUACCUGCUCCGUCGACUCCUUGGCCAGGAGCUCCCGCUGGAGGGCAUCAUCCUCGAGGACGAUCCGCUGAGCGCGCCGCCAUGGGAGCUCUUGAACAAACACGAGCUGGAGGACAAUGCUUUCUUCUUUGCCCACGGGCAAACCAUCGACAGCAAGGGCAGUCGGAACAAGCGGACCUGCGCGGGCGGCGGGUGCUGGGAAGGGCAGAAGGUCCUCGUGGAUGACAAGGAGCUCAUCGUCCCCGACAGCGGCAUGGAGAUCACCUGGAAGAAGUACCAGCUCAACUUCCACAACGACGGCGAGAAGGGCAGCACGGGGUGGGUCAUGCACGAGUACUCCGUCACAGCCCCGCCCGAUCUGGCCUCGUCGUCGCUCAGGCUGUAUCGCAUUUUGUUCAGUGGCCACGGCAAGAAGCGCAAGAGGGAGCCCGAUGAUUACGGCCGCGACCACGACGGUGGAGCUCGCGCGGCCACCCGGCAACCCAUAGACGAAGAGUCCGAACUUCAUCUUCUCGAGGAGCGGAUUUCGGCGUCGGCAGAUUUCGGCAGAUCUUCAGAAGAUCAGGAUGGCUACGGUAACGCGGGAAACGCGACAGAGGAUCAUCACCUGCUGGGUUCUUCCCAUGACUUGGGCCGCUCGUGGUUCUUGCCAGGCGGAGACCAUGGAGUAGGGCCGGCCGCGGCGACAUCAGGUCAAGACGCCCCAGCAGCUGGCGUGAUACAUGAGUUCGCCGGUGCAGAUGAUGGUGUUGCGACGGUGGAAGGAACGCUACCGUCCUCCGGCGCGAUGGACGAGUCCUUCUUAGAUAUCGAGCUGCCAGAGAACAUCAACUUCGACGAGUUCUUUGCCUUUGACGAGGUGUGCGGUUUGGAGGGACACCUCGACGGCCAGUUCUCCGGCACCAGCAUGCAUACGCAAUUUUCCGGGAUGCAGCCCAGGCCGAAUCCUUACUACAUGAGUUGCUAA
rnacentral:rRNA from 1 species